rnacentral:rRNA from 1 species
UACAGAGGUCCCAAGCGUUGUUCGGAUUCAUUGGGCGUAAAGGGUGCGUAGGCGGCGCGGUAAGUCUGAUGUGAAAGGCCCGGGGCUCACCCCCCGGAAGUGCAUUGGAAACUGGCGAACUCGAGUCCCGGAGAGGAGAGUGGAAUUCCCUGGUGUAGCGGUGAAAUGGCGUAGAUAUCAGGAGGAACACCGGUGGCGAAGGCGAGUCUCUGGGACGGGUACCGACGCUGAGACGCGAAAGCGUGGGGAGCGAACAGG